AGAGUUUGAUCCUGGCUCAGAAUCAACGCUGGCGGCGUGCCUAACACAUGCAAGUCGAACGCGAAAGUCCCGCAAGGGAUAAGUAGAGUGGCAAACGGGUGAGUAACGCGUGGGUGACCUGCCUUCGAGCGGGGGAUAACGUUCCGAAAGGGACGCUAAUACCGCAUAACAUCCUGCUUUUGAACAAGCGGAGAUCAAAGCUGGGGAUCGCAAGACCUAGCACUCGAAGAGGGGCCCGCGUCCGAUUAGCUAGUUGGUGGGGUAAUGGCUCACCAAGGCAACGAUCGGUAGCCGGCCUGAGAGGGCGGACGGCCACACUGGGACUGAGACACGGCCCAGACUCCUACGGGAGGCAGCAGUGGGGAAUUGUUCGCAAUGGGCGCAAGCCUGACGACGCAACGCCGCGUGGAGGAUGAAGAUCUUCGGGUCGUAAACUCCUGUCGAAUGGGACGAACGGACUGCGAGCGAACAGCUCGUGGUAGUGACGGUACCGUUAAAGGAAACCCCGGCUAACUCCGUGCCAGCAGCCGCGGUAAUACGGGGGGGGUAAGCGUUGUUCGGAAUUACUGGGCGUAAAGGGCUCGUAGGCGGCCAACUAAGUCAGACGUGAAAUCCCUCAGCUUAACUGGGGAACUGCGUCUGAUACUGGAUGGCUUGGAUUCGGGAGAGGGAUGCGGAAUUCCAGGUGUAGCGGUGAAAUGCGUAGAUAUCUGGAGGAACACCGGUGGCGAAGGCGGCAUCCUGGACCGACAUUGACGCUGAGGAGCGAAAGCCAGGGGAGCAAACGGGAUUAGAUACCCCUGUAGUCC
rnacentral:rRNA from 1 species